rnacentral:rRNA from 1 species
AUUGAACGCUGGCGGCAUGCCUAACACAUGCAAGUCGAGCGGAUGAAGGGAGCUUGCGCCUGGAUUAAGCUGCGGACGGGUGAGUAAUGCCUAGGAAUCUGCCUGGUAGUGGGGGAUAACGUCCGGAAACGGGCGCUAAUACCGCAUACGUCCUGAUGGAGAAAGUGGGGGAUCUUCGGACCUCACGCUAUCAGAUGAGCCUAGGUCGGAUUAGCUAGUUGGUGGGGUAAAGGCCUACCAAGGCGACGAUCCGUAACUGGUCUGAGAGGAUGAUCAGUCACACUGGAACUGAGACGCGGUCCAGACUCCUACGGGAGGCAGCAGUGGGGAAUAUUGGACAAUGGGCGAAAGCCUGGUCCAGCAAUGCCGCGUGUGUGAAGAAGGUCUUCGGAUUGUAAAGCACUUUUAGUUGGGAGGAAGGGCAGUAUGUGAAUACCUUGCUGUUUUGACGUUACCAACAGAAUAAGCACCGGCUAACUUCGUG